CGCAAAUGCGCGCGAUUGGUAAAUUCGUAAUCAUCUUAAUAAAUUCGUAUAAUAAAACAUUGGGUGUUACAAGAUGCAACGCGGAUGAGAUCGGCAGUUGGAUCAGCUUUCCUGACUGUUUAUGGGAUCAAGAAACCUGAAGACGCGGGAAACGGCAUUUGUUUUGUCUCCACUUUUAAGGCGCAGUGGACCCACUUCAGGCCAAGUCCCAUCACAACAGAAGCAUAGAGCCUGGAGGAGGAGGCAGGAAACACAGCCCAGACGCUGAUAAUCGGAGACGCAGCUGUCUCUCUUCAGCCGGAAAUACUCCGGCUUUAAAAGGAACUCAA